GAUGAACGCUGGCGGCGUGCCUAAUACAUGCAAGUCGAGCGAAUGGAUUAAGAGCUUGCUCUUAUGAAGUUAGCGGCGGACGGGUGAGUAACACGUGGGUAACCUGCCCAUAAGACUAGGAUAACUCCGGGAAACCGGGGCUAAUACCGGAUAACACUUUGAACCGCAUGGUUCGAAAUUGAAAGGCGGCUUCGGCUGUCACUUAUGGAUGGACCCGCGUCGCAUUAGCUAGUUGGUGAGGUAACGGCUCACCAAGGCAACGAUGCGUAGCCGACCUGAGAGGGUGAUCGGCCACACUGGGACUGAGACACGGCCCAGACUCCUACGGGAGGCAGCAGUAGGGAAUCUUCCGCAAUGGACGAAAGUCUGACGGAGCAACGCCGCGUGAGUGAUGAAGGCUUUCGGGUCGUAAAACUCUGUUGUUAGGGAAGAACAAGUGCUAGUUGAAUAAGCUGACACCUUGACGGUACCUAACCAGAAAGCCACGGCUAACUACGUGCCAGCCGCCGCAGUAA
rnacentral:rRNA from 1 species